rnacentral:tRNA from 1 species
AAAAAGCUUAUUUGACA